AUUGAACGCUGGCGGCAUGCCUUACACAUGCAAGUCGAACGGCAGCACGGGUGCUUGCACCUGUUGGCGAGUGGCGAACGGGUGAGUAAUACAUCGGAACAUUUCCUGUAGUGGGGGAUAGCCCGGCGAAAGCCGGAUUAAUACCGCAUACGAUCCACGGAUGAAAGCGGGGGACCUUCGGGCCUCGCGCUAUAGGGGUGGCCGAUGGCUGAUUAGCUAGUUGGUGGGGUAAAGGCCUACCAAGGCGACGAUCAGUAGCUGGUCUGAGAGGACGACAAGCCACACUGGGACUGAGACACGGCCCAGACUCCUACGGGAGGCAGCAGUGGGGAAUUUUGGACAAUGGGCGAAAGCAUGAUACAGCAAUGCCGCGUGUGUGACGACGGCCUUCGGGUUGUAAAGCACUUUUGUCCGGAAAGAAAUCCUUGACUCUAAUACAGUCGGGGGAUGACGGUAACGGAAGAAUAAGCACCGGCUAACUACGUG
rnacentral:rRNA from 1 species